UGCCCAGCAACUCCUAUUCUUACCUCCUCGUGGUACCGGCCGGAAACUAUGAGCAACCAAGUUCCAAGAUGAAUUACUGCCGGUGGAAGCUUUGGUCGUAGGCUGAAAGGGAAGG
rnacentral:ribozyme from 1 species